AACGAACGCUGGCGGCAGGCCUAACACAUGCAAGUCGAGCGAGGACUUCGGUCCUAGCGGCGGACGGGUGAGUAACGCGUGGGAACGUGCCCCUUGGUACGGAAUAGCCCCGGGAAACUGGGAGUAAUACCGUAUGAGCUCUACGGAGGAAAGAUUUAUCGCCAAGGGAUCGGCCCGCGUUGGAUUAGGUAGUUGGUGGGGUAAUGGCCUACCAAGCCGACGAUCCAUAGCUGGUUUGAGAGGAUGAUCAGCCACACUGGGACUGAGACACGGCCCAGACUCCUACGGGUGGCAGCAGUGGGGAAUUUUAGACAAUGGGCGCAAGCCUGAUCUAGCCAUGCCGCGUGAGCGAUGAAGGCCUUAGGGUUGUAAAGCUCUUUCAGCUGGGAAGAUAAUGACUGUACCAGCAGAAGAAGCCCCGGCUAACUCCGUGCCAGCAGCCGCCGUAA
rnacentral:rRNA from 1 species